CGGUAAUUCCAGCUCCAAUAGCGUAUACUAAAGUUGUUGCAGUUAAAAAGCUCGUAGUUGGAUUUCUGCGGGGACGGAGCGGCCGGACGCAACUUGCGUCUCGAGCUAGCGCUUUCCCCGCAUCCUGCCGCGAACCGUGCUACCAUUAGUUUGGUGGCGCCGGGGAUCGGCUCGAUUACUUUGAGAAAAAUAGAGCGUUCAAAGCAGGCCACACGCCUUGAAUAAGUUAGCAUGGAAUAAUGACUAAGGACUUUGGUUCUUUUCGUUGGUGUUCGGGACUGAAGUAAUGAUUGAUAGGGACAGUUGGGGCGGUCCGUAUUCCAAAGCGAGAGGUGAAAUUCUUAGACCUUCGGAAGACGAACAGCUGCGAAAGCGUUCCGCAAGGAUGUUCCCUUUGAUCAAGAACGAAAGUUGGGGGAUCGAAGACGAUCAGAUAUCGUCGUAGUCUCAACUAUAAACUAUACCAGCUAGGGAUCGGCCAACGUUUAACUUUAUCGACUUGGUCGGCACCUUAUGAGAAAUCAAAGCAUCUGGGUUCCGGGGGGAGUAUGGUCGCAAGGCUGAAACUUAAAGGAAUUGACGGAAGGGCACCACCAGCCGUGGAGCCUGUGGCUUAAUUUGACUCAACACGGGAAAACUUACCAGGUCCAGACAUAGGAAGGAUUGACAGAUUGAUAGCUCUUUCUUGAUUCUGUGGGUGGUGGUGCAUGGCCGUUUUUAGUCGGUGGAUGUGAUCUGUCUGCUUAAUUGCGUUAACGGACGAGACCCCAGCCUGCUAAAUAGCGCGGCCGAGCUUUGCUCGGUGCGAGCUUCUUAGAGGGACCAUGAUGCGCGAUAGCACAAGGAAGUUUGGGGCAACAACAGGUCUGUGAUGCCCUUAGAUGUUCUGGGCCGCACACGGGCUACACUGGCGCCUGCAACGAGCAUAUCAGCUGGCCCGAGAGGGUCUUGGCUAAUCUUUGGAACCGGCGCCGUGCUUGGGAUUGACCAUUGCAAUUGUUGGUCAUGCAACGAGGAAUGCCUUGUAAACGCGAGUCAUCAGCUCGCAUUGAAUACGUCCCUGCCCUUUGUACACACCGCCCGUCGCUCCUACCGAUGAAUGUUCCGAUGAAAUUUUCGGAGAGCGCCGGAGAACGGGGCUCCGCCCUGCAGAACUGGAGGCUCAAAGUCACUUAAAUCUGAACAUUUCGAGGAAGGAGAAGUCGUAACAAGGUAGCCG
rnacentral:rRNA from 1 species